AUCCAAUCCGCCGUCGUGCCUCCCCACGACCUCGCACACCGCCGUUGGUGCUAUGUCAUCGCGUCCCCGCGCGGACCCAAAUAUUCGUCUCCCUCUCUUCUUUCAUUUCCCCCUCUCCACUCCUCUGCAAUCACAUGCGCAGACGCCUCGCCGCCACGCUCCCUCUUCGACUCUUUUUUUUGAGAUAGCUUACCAGGCUUGCUGCCUGGUCCCCCCCUUGGACCCAAUCUACUAGGAGCUCUGCCAGCUUUUGGAUUUGCAUAUAAUGCUGACACCACGUGGACUCUGAACUCUGAAGGAAGUUGUGCUAACUGCUAGGCUUUCCCUGCUUUUCCAGCUUGUGUGUUUCAUUGAUGGAUGAGACCUGAAAGUAACAUCAAAGGAUGCCAGCGGCGGCAGAGAUCAACAAGUUCUUCACCGUCGCAGAGAAGGUGGAGGUCGAAUGUUUCACCGUCAAGUGCACACUUAUCAUUCUGCUACAGUCACUCGAUCAUCGUCAGGAACACCGCCACACUAAGAAUUGUGCAGCUGCUCUACUUUCAGGUCCAAAUUGGACAUCACGUGAGGUGUUACGGUCAACACCAGCCAGUUCAAGGCAACCCUACAGGUGGUCGUCUGAGCGAGUGCUAACAUGCUAAUAGGAGCAGUUUCAUCUCGAGCAGACUUGCACCGCAAUAAGUACAUGCUACUCUCAGCGUCUGCUAACAUGAAGUUGCACUCAGGCUCUCGCAUAGACUACAGAGCAGUGUCUUCAAUAGAACAAAUAAAGUGUUGAGUAACUAAAAGGCCAUUCCGAUUCCGGUAUGGUAAAUAUUUGAUGGAUGGCAAAGGGUCCCGGGGGAGCUCGUUUGUGCUGACGAUACUCAACAUAUUCUGUAAAUAUCCUCUGAAUUCACCAUCCAUGAGUCGCAAGUCAUGUUUUCUGGUGCUAUAAGUAUAAAAAAGGUUCAUACUUUGUUUUAUUAUCCUUUUGUGGUGUUGGUACUAUACCUUUUGGCCUAAGAAGGCUCUCUGAAACACUGAGACAAACAAAGCUAAACAUUUGGAGUAUGAUUAAGCAGUCCAGUCAGCGUUACUAAUC